AAACACGCCCCAGUAACAACAGUCACCUCACUCAGGAAACCAGGCACCAGAAGCACUGCAAUUUGCCACUGAGGGGCCGAUGGGAGCCUCUGAAUGAAUGCCUGAUCUUCCCUGGUCUUCCAUGGUAGGGAAAGCACCAAGCCACUUCUCUUUCCAGAGGAAUCUUGCAAAAACAUGACCCAUCUGAAGAACCCUGGGCAGGGACAUCCUGGCAGCUUGGCCCGCUCAGCCAUCCAGGGACUUAAAGGAGAACAGGACACAGGGUAGACUGGCAGCCACAUGGGUUCCGAUUCACCAGCCAUCGUUUAGUGACAUGGGGCCCCUAGCCCAAGCCAGAGCAUAUGGCAGCUGUCCCACAGAACUCUUCGUCUUUUGAGAGGUUCCUCUGUGAAAGAUUUGAUGUAAGCCAUUUGUCUUUUCCUUGGAAAAAGUAAAAUAUUUACACAGCAUUUUGCAUGUAGGUCUGGGGAGCCAUAGGCCCCAGAGUAAGAGCCCUCUUUAUGUUGGUGGCUCUGUGGCCCUACCUCAGAGUUGUGGAGAGCAGAUUGCAAAAACCAGUUCCUUAGAUGCAGAAAGGUCUCUUUUCUCCUUCACAUGGAAGAUCCUAAAAUGGUAGAUUCUUAAAACUGGAAUACCAGCCAUUGGGUUUCUGUGCGGUUCCACAUUUAUAUAGACUUAGGUGACUGAAAUGGAAGACUCUGUCUUGGAUGUGUUCAGCACCUGGUAGGUGACCUGCCCUCCAUCUCUGCCAUGGAUAAAUACAGGAACCAAAGAACAAGUCAUAGUGAAAACAUCGACCUUCUCCUUUAGUGUUCCUUUCUAAUUGCAUAGGUUAUCUCUUUUAAAUUUACCAGCUCUGAGCUGGGAAUGUGGCCUAGUGG